GGGGAUGUGGUGGAACUGGCAGACACGCUGGAUUUAGGUUCCAGUGCCGAAAGGCGUGGGGGUUCGACUCCCUCCAUCCCUACCA
rnacentral:tRNA from 6 species